rnacentral:miRNA from 1 species
AAUCCCAAUGCUAGACCCGGUG